UACGAAGGGGGGCUAGCGUUGUUCGGAAUUACUGGGCGUAAAGGGCGCGUAGGCGGCUCUGAUCGUCGGAUGUGAAAGGCCUGGGCUCAACCUGGGAAUGGCAUCCGAUACGGCGGGGGCUGGAGUGUGGGGAGAGGUUGGGUGGAAAUUCCCAGGUGUAGAGGUGAAAAUUUCGUAGAUGUUGGGAAAGAACACCGGUGGCGA
rnacentral:rRNA from 1 species